CGGAGCGGCUUGCCCGGCGCAGCCUGACCCACGCAGACACGGACCCCGUUACCGUGGACGGAACAGAGGGGUGCGGGGUGCGAGUAGGCCCUCAAGAAGAUCGGGACAUGGGCCUCUCCUUGGAUCUAAUCCUCACUUCGUGUUGACUGAGGGGAACACCAAUCCCCUGUCCUUUUGCCUCAGGUGUGACCCUUCUUUCUCCCUCCAGCACCUGGGCCUUGAAGACCCAUGGUGGAGAUCUUCCUAGAAGUCUGCAGGGGAUGACAGUAGGCUUUUACAUGAAACAAAGCCCUAUUUUCCCUCUCCCACAGACCAGAGAGGGUGGCUGGAACUGCGAGUAGUUGCCUGAUUUUCAUGCCUCUUCUCUUCUUCUGCUGCUGAUGAACAUUCAUUCCAGAGAGUCUUUCUACACCAAGGCUGGUGCUGCAGAGGGAUAGGACAGACUGUCAAAUUCUCUGUUGUGUGUAUACACAAGGGGCUAGCUUUUAGAUACAUGAAUUACAAUCAGCACAUAUUAUUUGU